CUGAGGGAGCGGUGCUGAGGGAGCGCUGAGGGAGCGGUGCUGAGGGAGCGGUGCUGAGGGACGAGCGGGGCCGCACCACAACAUCCACGCUCGUGUGGUCGUGGUGACUGCUGAAAAUUAAGAAUGCUUGGAGAAGAUCACUGUGAAGAGCAGCGUGGUGCAAAGUGCAGGUUCUGGAGCUGUGCAGAACAGCAUGUCAGAUGGGUCCAAGUGUGAUGCCAGGGACUGGAUGUGUGUGUCAGGAUCAGGUCCAUGGACAAUAACCAGCAUCACAAGCAGCCAGUGAUCAGCAGGAAGGACCCCCAUGGAAUAAGGAUUUUAACCUGUAUAUGAAGAGGCUCAGGAAAUAGGAAAUUGGGAAUGGAGAGGACUCCGUUCAAUCCACAAGAAAUUUGAGGGAUGCUAUAAUAAGAAGGACAAUGAAAUGUCCAAGUGUGAUGGAAGUUCUUCAAGACUGACCCUGAAAGGUACCUGGCUCCCUCACAGAAAAGAGGAUGGAAAAAUAAUCAGAUGUUUUCACCACAAAAUGGAGAAGUCAUCUUUAACUUUCCUCAAAAAAUGUUAUCCUCAUAUGACAACAUGUCAAGUCAUUUGAGUCUGCUGGAUACAAUCAGAUUUAUUGUUACCCUUGACCUCUGAGAGCUCCUAAAAAUUAUCCUGAGCAAUGUCACAUACGGACUAAAACCAGAAAUACAGGGUAAACCAGUUACACUGACACGAAUGAGCCAGGUGAUGAAUUCUGGCAAUCUCCUACCUCACAAGAGAACAGCACCAAUUCCACAUAUGAAGAUUUUUUUUCUGCAUCCUAUACUUGAGAGAAAGCAUAGAAAAAUAGAAACUAAAGGAAGAUUACGGAAGUCAGAGAUGCUAAAAAGGAACAGAUCAAGUAUCUCCCUUUGGCCCAAAUUUGAAAACUCUGAGGGAACAGAAAGUAAUAUACUGGCACUGCUAUGGAGACUGCUGGUCCUUAGAAGCAAUGAAGAGGCAUCCUCAAAGUUACAUUUAUGAGAUGUUACCCUUGUAUGGAGCCUACAAACAAGUACCUGUACAAAUACGCCUGCCAGGAUUAAAGCUAAAGUUGUUUCCCCCUGUGGUCAUGACGGCUUCGCACAGUGACUCUUUGGUGGUGUUGUUUGGGGCAACAGCUGGUGCAUAUGGGGCUAAACUGGGUUCGGAUGAGAGGGAACUAAUUCUCUUGGUGUGGCAAGUUGUGGAUCUACACAGCAAGAAGGUAGGGACACUACACAAAUCCCUGGUGAAAGCAGACAACUUGGACUUAAGUGACCAGUGUCGCGAAGUCAGUGCCUUAACGCCAGAGGGACUGAGCAAAGCCGAGCCGCUGGACCGGGUUCUUCAACAGUUUAGUCAGCUGGUAUCCAGUGAUUUGAAAGUACUUGGAAGGAACUCUUACACACUCUGCAGUGAUGGCCAGUUACUCAUUCGACAAGUCCUCCACCCAGAAACAUCCAAAAAGAACCUGCUGCUGUCAGACUGCUUCUAUUCCUUCUACGACCUGCGCAAAGAGUUCCGCUCUUGCUACCCCAGUUCAGCCGCCGGCAAAGAUCAGACCAUCAAGACCAUGGCAGAAUAUCUAGGCUUGGGGACAGAUGAAGCAGAGGAGGACUUUGGCGUGUGGCAAGUGAAAACCAUGGUGGCCAUCAUUUUCAGCAUGCUCUCUGAAGGUGGUAAUCACGUAUUUACUGAGCCUGAAACUGUGAAACACAAGUAUGAAACAGGCCCUUGUAGUAAAUCUGAAACUGUGGACAGUGAGACAGUAAUACGUGCCAGAGGUUUGCCAUGGCAGUCUUCAGACCAAGAUAUUGCUCGAUUCUUCAAAGGUCUCAAUAUUGCCAAAGGUGGUGUGGCUCUUUGUCUGAAUUCCCAAGGAAGAAGAAAUGGGGAGGCCUUAGUUCGGUUUGUAAAUUCUGAACAGAGAGACCUUGCACUGGAAAGGCAUAAGCAUCACAUGGGCAGCAGAUACAUUGAGGUUUACAAAGCAACUGGAGAGGAAUUCUUAAAAAUUGCAGGAGGCACCUCCAAUGAAGUGGCCCAGUUCUUAUCCAAGGAGAACCAAGUUAUCAUCCGGAUGAGAGGCCUUCCAUUCACUGCUACGCAGGAGGAUGUCCUGGGCUUCCUGGGGCCCGAGUGCCCGGUCACAGGAGGGAAAGAGGGACUUCUCUUUGUCAAGUACCCAGAUGGCAGGCCCACAGGAGAUGCAUUUGUGUUAUUUUCCUGCGAAGAAUAUGCACAAAGUGCGCUUAAAAAGCACAAAGAAAUACUUGGAAAACGUUACAUAGAACUCUUCAGGAGCACAGCAGCAGAAGUCCAACAGGUACUUAAUCGAUAUAUGUCAACACCUCUCAUCCCAACUCUGCCAACUCCCAUCAUCCCAGUCAUCCCCCCCCCCUACACCAUUGCCACGGGCAGUGUCCGGGACUGCGUCCGGCUCCGAGGGCUCCCUUACACCGCGGGCAUCGACGACAUCCUGGAAUUCAUGGCAGACGCCACCGGGGACAUCAAGCCCCACGGAGUUCACAUGGUCCUUAACCAACAGGGACGACCAUCAGGUGACGCUUUUAUCCAAAUGAAAUCUGCUGACAAAGCCUUUAUGGUGGCUCAAAAAUGUCACAAAAAAAUGAUGAAGGACCGUUAUGUGGAAGUAUUCCAGUGUUCAGGAGAGGAGAUGAACUUUGUUUUAAUGGGUGGCACUUUAAAUCGUAGUGGCUUAUCCCCACCGCCAUGUAAGUUACCAUGUCUCUCUCCACCAGCUUAUGCUGCUUUCCAGACAGCAGCUGUGAUUCCAGCAGAGGCAGCACUGUACCAGCCACAAGCCCUCUUGCCAACCACCAGGACUCCCCAGGCCUCUGCAGCUGCUCCUCCAGCUGUCACCUACUACCCAGCUCAGGCUGCUCAGCUUUAUAUGAAUUACACAGCUUACUAUCCCAGUCCUCCAGUGUCUCCUACCACAGUGGGGUACAUUGCAGCUCCCCCAGGAGCUGUAGCUGCUGCUGCCACUGCCACCCACACUCCGAUCCUGCCCCAGCCUGGAGCGCUGGUCCGGAUGCAGGGCUUGCCAUACAACACAGGAAUGAAGGAGAUACUCAGCUUCUUCCAGGGCUACCAGGAGUGUCCCGUUCAGCUGUCUGGAACUCUGUGAGCAACACAUGGAGGGGGGUAGCCUGCAGACCCCAGAAGACUGUACAUUGACUAGAUGAGAUACAGAAAAAGAAUGAACGCCCUGAGAGAGCACUGAAGGUCAGCUGGAGGCUCAAGCCCCUGGAACCCUGCAAAUACAUUAAGCAGUGUAGUAACACCAAUAUCAGCAGAACAGAGAAGUGGGUCUGGCUUUUGGAUCUGCUGUCAAGCUGUAAAAUAAGCAACCACUCGUUCGGUUUUACUGGGUUCUUCUCACUGUUUUCACUUCCCCCUGUGCUCUGUUUGCCUGGUUUCAGUCCCUGCUCACUGCACAAAUGGAGGCAGCCGAAGCACGGGGGUCUCCCCUGCCCUUGUCUUUCAGGCCCAGGACUUUGCCUCUGGGCUGCUGAAGGCACUGGGACAGCUGGCAAAGCCAGUGUUCCAGUGUUUGUGCAGGACAGCCAGACUGUUCAUGGAGAGCUCUUAAAACUCUGCAAUUUGCAAUCCAGAGUUUUAAGAUAAACUAAAAUUAGGUUGAACAUUUGUGCAGUCAGUGACACACAAGAGCUGUGGGUGCUGAUCUUAUCAGCUGUUCCAGUACUGACCAACCCCUCAGGAGAAAUUCCCACCUACAGAAAGUGAUCCAUAUUUGCUGAUUUGAACAGAACAAACUCUUGUGUUAUGAAGCAUGACAUCAUAAUGAAAAAUGAUGCUCUUAUUAAUAAAUGGCUGAAUGUUUUGGUUUGGAUAAAUUUAAAAAAAUAUAUAAUAACAAGCUCAUUCCUAGCAUUUAUUCACCCUUUUAAGACUACUUUUAACACUACUGAGCAAAUUUUCAUAGAAUUGUCCAUUGUAAAUUCAAGACAGCUUUAUAUGGUAAUAGUUCAGAGAGACUGUCAUUGUAUGUAUGAUUAGCACAGGUUUUAUUCUUUCCCUUACUCUAAUUUCUACUUUUUCUUUAACUAUCUGAUUUUCUUUACUCACAAGGUCUUCCUGUAGAGGUUUCUAGACAGUUUUUGGUUUUCACCCCUCUGAAUAGCUGAGCAGCAGCAGUUUCACAUUCACCUAGGCUCUAAAUCAGAUUUAAGCAAGAGGUUAUACAUUACAGUUGAGAACUGUUUCUUACUCUUUCAGAGCUGUUGUCUGGCAUGUCAUCUACUUGAGGACGAUUGUCACUGUCACUAUCUGUUCUGAAAACUUUUCACUGACACCUUACCUUGGACAGGUCCUGCAACACGUCUCUUUUUUCAAAGGACUUUGGGCAUGAGAAUCUCUAGUUCCUCAACUGUGAACAUCAAUACAAAAAACUUUCUAAGAUCAUUUAUCUUAUUUUAACUGAAUAACUGAUUUGUCAUCUGUGGGGCACGUUUCACAUUUAAUCUAAUAGUUUUCAUGUUCUUUUCUGUUUUCUGCAUUUAGAAGCAGCUUGUAGUCUCUCUCACUGCAGAGUAAUUGUACACUUAAUAAGAACCUCAUAAAGAGUUUGCAGACUGUUUGCAACUAUUUGACCCUUUGACCACCUAUUAUAUCUCAGUGAGUUUGACUGUGUUCCUAUAGUUCACCUUUUCAAGUUUGUCACAGCCUGUAGUGAUGAAACUGCAACAAACCAAAGAUUUAUUUUUUUCCAGGCAGUUUCUGUAUGGUCCUUUGGACCAAAUAAAGAGAUAUUUCCCCUUGUGGGUUCUCCUCAGUACUCCACACAGCAGUCAUCACACCCAUUCAAUAAAGGAUGACUCAAGUAUUCCAUUAGUUAUUUCCUGCCUUUGCAGAUGCUCUGAUCUCGUGCAGCACACCAGUUACAGUUGCUCUCCUCUUCAGCAGUAUAAUUUAGAAGCUAUACUCUUCCUAGUUUAACCCUGAAAGUUGUCUCUGCAAGAAUUCUGUACUAGCAACGGAUACAGAGAGCUUCUCUCAUUUGACACUGCAUUCUUCAAGGUACAAAACCAUUCUACUUUCCUGUGUAAACAAUCUCUCGUAUUUGUACCACACUAUCUUGUGCCAAAUACAUAAAAUACCCAUUAUUUUAGUUUUAAAAAAAUGCCAUUUCUCAAUUGUAUUUCUCACAUGCCAGCAUUUGUGUGUAAGCAUAUUUCUCUCCAGGUCUGGGUCUCUGUCUGUGUGCCUUUUUUAAAAGGGAUCUGUAGGUGUACAUUUCAUAAGCCCAAGUUUGGGGUUUGCCAACCUGUGUGUUAUUCUUUAGUUGAUGAGACUGGUAUUUGGGGGUUAUUUUAUUACUUAAUUGAAUUUUCAUUUUUCAAGAACUUCUGCUCUUCAACAAUUAUUCUGAACCUAUCAGAGUCUGAGUUGCACAGGAUAUAGAACACUGAAAUAAUCUAAGCUAUAACUUGCAAUUUACUAAUAGUUUUGCUGUUUCAAUAUCUAGGAAUGUCAACUUAGUGCACAGAGUCCUUUCCCUAGCUUUGCCAUUCUAAAUAGGAGCUACUUACCUUACUAAUAACAUUUUGAUAUGUAAGGAAAGCAGAGCUAAAUUUCUUGAAGGAUGAUAAAAGACCAGCGUGAUUUAUUUCAGUUUCGUAGGCAAACUUAAGGUCAGUCUCCACACUAAUUGUGUGAAAGUUUUAUUAAGAGUUUGAUUACUGUUACUAAUCCCAAAUCUACUGUACACUUACAGGUAUUACCCUUUAAAAAUCACUGGGGAAUGUAAAACAUGUUAUCUGUGUUUUAACAUAUGUGUAUAUGCAUAUAUAUUGGAAAAAAGUGUAGUUCUUUGGCAUUUUAGGCAUGUUUGUAAUAAAGUGAAAAACACUUAAGUAUAAACACAAAUGACACCCAUAUACCAUGCAUCAACUUCUAACAUUAGUAUUUAGAAGAGUCGUGAUGCAUAAUUAUCGUUUAUAUGUGAAACAAAGAAGCUGAAAUAAUAAAUCCAGAUGUUCUUUCCCAACUACAGUGCACAUUCAACUUGAAAUCUAGUUAUGAAUCUGUAUUCCUAAUACUUAGAUAGCUGGUGCACACCACUGUAUUCCAUCUAUUUAAAUUGAUAUUGCUUCAUCUUUUUAAUAAAGAGAAACAUUCCAAAUUUCUCAGGUAACUUAUCUGGCCACUCUUUAACGUUGCCCAUAUUUGGCUUAAAAUUUUCAUAUCCUCUUUGUUUUCCUAGAUCCUACAGCACUCAGGAAGUUCUGUGGCAGCUCUAUAUACUUUGAGUGGCGGAUUUUACUGAGUGACUGUACACCUGGUUCAGAACUGCUGAAUUUCCAACUAUUUCAGAAUACACAGGUGUCCAAUUACAGUAAUACUUCAGUAUUACACAGCGCUUUUCACUUGUAGCUCAUAAGACUAUUAAAAGACUUUCCCCUUUCCUUUGUGCUCCAAUUUCAAACAUUGAAGCAUUUCAGUAAGCAGACUCACCCUCUAGAUUUUCCACAUAGGAGUUGGACAUGAAUGCUGAAUGUUGAGUCCAUUUCUCUGUUGAACCUGAUGGCUGGUAUUCCAGGUCAGAGAUAAAACUGUCUGUAUCAGAGAAGAAGACAGACAUAACUACUGACUGGACUAAACCAAGAAGUUACAGUUCACUCAACGAGGAAGUGAUUUUCAUUUUUCUUUUAAUAGCACUAAAUUUAAAUACCCAGCUUCAUUCACAACUAACUACUGCGUAAGCCGACAUAAAUAACUAUUUAUAAAUUAUCAGAGUGCUUAUAAAAAACAGUAUCACUUAUCUUGUAUACUUAGUUACUUUUCAGUUAGCAGCCAUAAAGGUAAUGGUUAAUAUUUUUGGAUGUCUGCCUAGAUGUAUCAUCAUGAUUUUUAUACUACUUAAGUUUGUUUUAGUAUUUGUGUUAGUUUAAGACAUUCCUCCUGCAGUUUUCUCAAUCUGCUUUACUUACUGUGGUCAAAUUAAAAAGUUGCCCCUUGACAGCAACUCCACUGAACAAGGUAGGCAAAAGAGUACUAGUAAAUAAAACUUUUAUUGUUAUUUUCCCUAUCCCUUAACCAAAGGAAACUGUCCCUGUACACAGCUAUUGUCUUCCUCUUUACUUGUCACACUGUCUGUACACUUUGUCCAAGGUACUGCUCUGCAGUCAGACCACACACAGAUCCAAGUGCCAGAAUACCAAGUACUAUCUUGGCACAGGUGGCUCUCUGAGACCAAGGCCAUGUGAGAAAUCCCAGAGGAAGUGGAGAGCUGUGUUUCACUGAACUGCUUUUCCUGGAAGAAAAAUCAAUGUCAAAUAGUGUGUUCAUUACUUUAACCAAGUGUGUGUUUAUUCAGUUGUGAUUGGUGGCUAUGCAGAGCUUACAACAGUGUACAGGGUUGGAUAUAGUUGUUUUUUUUUUCCUGUGCAAGACAGAGCUGCAAGUUUAGUAAAUUAGGCUUUAACACAAUUAACAAAAUUACUCUGGACCUUGGCCAAUUUGUGCCUUCUGGAUAGAUGCACACACUUUUUUUGCCAGCACGGUUUUUAAGCCCUGCUUAGGGGUCACUCCCAGGAGAAUGAGUCUCCCCUUACUUCCUUCUGAAAUUCAAGCAGCUCAAAUGACUUCUUUGGGUGACUUCUUAUGCUUAAUUGUUCAAAGUGUAAAGUUACAUGUAUUUAAAUGGGAAGUGGAAAGCUUUAUCUGGGUUUCAAUGAAAAUGCCCACUGCCACUGUGAAGGAAAGGAAUAGAUUAAGGAUAAAUUCUUGUCAAAUAAUAGGAGAUUAAGAAAAGAGCAUUUUCCUCCACCAAUUAUGGUAGAAACAGCAAGAAAGUGAUAUUUAAAUAAAGAUCUAAUGAAACCAGGGAGAUGGGCAGGAAACUACCUCAAGGGGAAACAAAUUAAUGUUUGCCAGCAACCCUCUUUAAAGCCACAGCUUUCAAAGGAGCAGACAACAAACACUGUCAAAAAAACCUCCUGAGAGAACAGUGCAGUUCAUUAGCUCCUAAAGCAACAGGCUGUGCACCAUAAAGACAGCACAGCCUAUACAGUGAGGGUUCUCUGUCACUCUAGCACGGAAAUAUGAUUCUGAGCAGUUUUUCUAAUGAAUUUCAUACUUAGAAGGAUUCUGAGGUUCUCGUGUGCCCUAACAAAGCUGCCAGAUAUUGAAUGUUUGCUUUUAUCAACCCCUGACAAAUUGUCAUGCAUAGCACAUGUAACAUGUCUCCAGCCAGCACCCUCUAGAAUGAAGCACAUGCGCUUGCCUUGGGCACACACUACGUGUUGUUCGGGAAACGUGGUAAAUAAAGCAUCAGCCUUUUCAAGUGUGUUAUGUAGCAUGAGAGGUUUGUUCAACAUGCACGUAAGUUAGAUAGAACUUGAGCUACCAGGUAAACAUAUAUUAAAAAUACCUUUGUACCUCAUAAUUUCAUAAACAUUUGAGAAAGUUUUUUACAUCUUAAAGCACUACGAAAAUGUGUUCUGUACUGAAAGAAUAUAAAACCAAAAUUAAAACUAUUAAAUUGAAACAAAAAUCAAGAAACCUGACACUCUUUAGAUCUGUUUCACUGAUGAAAAAUUCAUAUUUUUAUGAAUGACUUCUUUGUCUUGACUCAUCCCCUAAGUAAAAAAAGGUUAAGAAAAGCUUUAAACCUUCAAUUAUCUGUACCAGAUUUGGGUCAGAGUAGGAAGUCAUCUUAAAAUUAGAGCUCUGUUAUGGAUACAGGCAGACCAAAAGGCUAUUGGAGUUAUACCAUUUGAUUUUCAGAAUCUACAGGAGUCAACUAACUUCCUUUUUUAUAGCACCAUCCAAUUAGAAGUUUAGCCUGUGUAUCCUUUAUUGCUGCUGAACUGAAAGUAGGAUGUGUGGGCAAUGGGACUUAAACCUAGAAGAUGUACUAGUUUUAGAAAAGUGGCUUUCCAAAAAUAUUUUGGGAUACGUGAUUGUAGUGUAGCUACAGGAAGUAAGAGUUUCUUAACAUGCCCCACAAAAAGAAGUUGAUACAAUUGUCUUUGUGUGUUUAGGGGAGGGCCGAGUGAAUCGCUCUAUUGACAGAGGCCACAAUGAUCAGUAAACCUCAAAGAACGCUAUGGACAGACUGCAGCACACAUUUCCUCACACACAGGCCUUUGUUGUCAACUCCAGAAAGAACUCUAUCAGCUGCAUUUAUGUGAAGAAUCCCUGUAACUACAUCACAUUGCUCAGUGCAGUAUAUUUAGCCUGGUUUUGACUCCACAUGACCAGCAACUAAUAGAGUGUCAACUUUCCCUAACAACAAAAAAGAAAAAGCUGCCAGGCUAUAAUUAAGCCUCAGUCCUCUGUGCUGUGGAGCAGCCACAGCUGAUUCUGCUCGUUUGACACCAAAUCAGUCAUAUGCCAGGCCAUGUCUGCUAUGGCAAACCACACAGUGGGCUGCCUUGCACAUCAUCAUUCCAAGUCAUAGGCCAGGCUUGCUUUUAAUAAUUUCAGGUUUGAUGCCAACUUUACUAAGAAGUACUACUUUUUUAUUAACUGACAAAAUAAGGCUGCAUGAAAUGCUGGAGGAGUACAGUUUUCCUGUGCACAUUAUCUUUAUAGCUGCACAGAGAAGCUGCAGGUGCCUGCAGAGUCACAGCACAAGCUCUGCAGUUAUGUGGUACAGUAACAAAUAUCUUGUUCAUGUCUCGGUCAUGAUGUCACACUCUGCAUUUCUGUAUCCUGGUAAACCCAACUCCCUUAAGUCAUGUUUACCCCCUUCUCUCACACAAGGAGAGAGAUGAGUCUGAGCCAGGAUUAAGCAUGAGCCUUGGUGCUAGAGGACAUGUGCUGGGCAGUGGAAAGCAGUGCUGAAGUGUCUCAGUGUAUUUUUGCAGUGUCACAAGGCGUGCUGAGCUCCUUCCAGCUCUGCUGCUAUUGCCAGCACCUACACCACGAUGCAGACAUGCCACUUGCUCUCAUGGAAGAAGUCUCUAACCUCUUCUAAUCCUUAAAUGGAAAUAUUUCUGCAGUGGUACCACUAGUUGAGCUUACUUUGCAUUCGUUACAAGAUGUCCUGUGGCUCUCCGAGGGAGAGCUGGUCAGACACCGGAGGAUUUAACUGACAUUUUUACAGAUCAGAAGUCUGUAACUGGUCUUCUCAAUAGAUGCCUUGCUGUCACAACUUUUAUGAACACGAUGAAUCCACUAGAAGAUACGGUCAUAGCCUCCUUUAACUGCUGACAACCCCUGAUGGAUAACACUCUUCACCUUUCCUCACCGCUCCAACCUUUUGCUUUUAAACUACUGCUCAGUCUGGAUCUUAACCCAUGCUGGGCAUGUGCAAGGUGCAACAUUUUGUUCCAUGCUUAGGAGAGAGUAAAACCACCUUCGAUUUGAGAUGUACAUCUCAAGUCUGAGCUGCACCAGCAAGACAACAGGUUUUUGAGCUGCUCUCCUCCAUACUAAGCUAGACUCUUUCAUUCAGUAUUUUCUGAAUGCUCCAUUUGGCAGGACACUGCCUUAAUUAAGAAUGACCUGUUAUUGCAUAAGUUUUAAAUAUAGGCAGAUAUACAAGGUAUAGUCAUUCUACAAUAUUUUCUUAUUAAUUACUACUUUGAUUAUCCAGAAAUUUAGCUGAAGUUACAGUAAAAAGCAACCUGUAAUGAUGUACACAUUUUCUAGCCAAGACAGAAUAAUCUGAGCUUCCCAGCAAGAGACUUUAUCAGCUAGAGAGUCAUCACAGAACUACUAAAAUGAAUGAAUGCUAAUGGCUUAGAAUUCUACAUGGAAUGUGGCUGACAAAGAAGACUUAUGGCUUUAUAUACACAAAAUGGUUAGGGGAUUUCUAGUUAUGAUUUAUAGUAAAUCCACAUACUGGAUUUUCUAAUCUCCAGAUUUAUGUAAUGGAGAUGCAAUGAGUUACAAAAUGUAAGAGGAUUAGUAGAAGGUCAUCCUGAUUUGCUGAAUACAGCCUAACGUAAUACCUUCAAAAUGGUUAAAUACAGCUGUACAUGCUAGAAAUCUCAGCACUGUAGAAAGCCAUGAAAUCCAAGGUAAACUCCCUCCUAAACUGCAAACCACAAGAGAUUAAAUUUCAGAUCAACAGUAUUAGAAUAGAUUUAAAUCUAAAACUUGACAGUGGGAUAGCUAAACCAUCACACUAGGAGCACUUUUUAAAUCAGACUGAGGGGAAAUUAAUAAGGUCUCAUCAUAUAACUACACUGAGUCUGACUUUGAGUAGCUUUUUUUUCAAGUGGGGAAGAAAUGGGACCUUUACUAGAGGAAUAUGCAGCAGAGCACAGUAUGGAUGAUGGGUAUGGGACAGAAAUGACCAGCUGCCUCUUUCCUGUCACUGCAGCUGCCUCGUUUACACCUAUUUGCAGCCCUAAACAUUCCACUGUCUAUCCAGGGCAGGGUUAACCCGGGGUGUUGGGCAGAGGGCCACUUGCUGAAAGACACUAAGGGAAAAAAGGUCCAACAACACACCAGGGGAGAGAAAAAGCAGAGGGGACAAAUAAAGUGUAAGAAGCUGCUUUCACAUAGUUCUGGUCUGAAAGUUUACCAGCUUGUGCAGCCUAAGCUGGUAAAGACCUAAGCGGAAAAGAGGAGUUUUCCAGAACACAUUUGAAGUAGUAACAUACAAUAAAUAUUACUUUGAAAUUGUGUUGUUUCAAAUGUUUUCUGUAAUAUAAUUUUAUUUUCAUAUCUAGGUAUCCUCAUGCAUGUUGAUCCCUUGUUUCUUCAAGUGAAUUAAAAAGUGUUUCCUGCAGGAAGCAAAGACAGGAAGAGAAGAAAAAAAAGCAGAAUAGCAAAUUCUGCUUGAGAUUAGAGAAGUCUAAAGACAUCAACAGGAUCCUGUUGAACAACAAGAUAAUGAAGAGUCACAGAAACUUCAGCAUAGGAAAAAAAAAGGAAAAAAGUGUCCUUUAUGCAGACA